CUCAAAUAUCGACAAGCACGCUAAAUGCUCGAAUAAAUUGGUUAAUUUGGUUUUGUUUUUGGUUUUAGGGGAUCCGGUUUUUCGGGUUUCUGAUGUGUCUUUGCAGCUUGCGGAUGCCUCUCUAUUUAAGCCGAAAUAGCUAAAGUUGAGAAAGAACAAUUGGAGCUUAGAUUCUUGCACUUGGGAGUGUAAAUUUGGAUUUAUAAAUGGGUUUUUUGUUUAAAUUUUUUGGUUGUGAUUUUGGGGAUUUUGUUUGUGGGUUCGGAUUCUGAGUGAUGGUGGUUAAUUUGGUUGUGUUUUUGGUUUCAGGAGAUCUGAUUUUUUGGGUUUAUGAUAUUUCUUUGCAGCAUGCGAAGGCCUCUGUAUUUAAGGUGAACAGUUUUAAAACGCUUUUUAUUCGGUUUGCAGCCUGAGACGUAAUUUUAAAACUGAAAUUUCCAAGCUUUUCGAUUAAUCUUAAAUCAGGGACCUACAAAAGCUUGAUUUUCAGGAAGUCACCAAUCCUGCAGAAACUUUGGGUUUCCUGCUUUCUCACCAGAGAUCUUCGUCAUCACUGCUCCACCAAACUUGCCGAUAGCGUCCGCCCUCUCAAACCAGAAGUUAGUGGCGAUUCGUUCACCGGAAUGAGAAUUCGACGGCACCCUCUUUGUCUCUGCCACGAAACUGUCAACUACUCUCUCCGUGGAAAAAUAAAUUAGGGUUCUUCUUCGAUUAUCUCAGCUCGCAAGUUCUUCUAUGGAGUCUAAUCCCCUCUAUGGUGUGGAUAAGGGUUUCAAAGUGAUGCCAUCUUCAUAUCAUGAUAUCAGCAAAGUUGAGUUUCAAGAUACUUGGGAUUGGUUUGGUAUGCUUUGCAUAACUUAGUUGAAUUUUCAUAUUACAAUUCUUUGCAAUUUUUUCCACAUGAGAGUUUGAACUUGAAUUAUGCAUACAUAUACAAUAGGGUAGACCUUGGUACAGUUUCUAUUUUGGUGUUCAUGUACACCUCAACAGGCUUACUUUACUUUCACAGAAUGUUUCUGGUUUCUGUUUGUCUUGGGGGAAAAUUUACAGUUGUGGAGAAGUUUUUGGUGAAAUAUGAUCAAGUAUAAGCUUUGCAGGUUGUUUUGUUUCAUCAGCUAGGAGUAGUGCUGGAUUUUUGUGUCGCAGAAAUGAGUUCAAAUUUUUCAUAAAUAGAAUUAUUUGUUUUGAAAAUUGGGUUUGAAGGUACUCAACUGUACCGUUGUUCAGAAGGGUUGGUGUGGAACUGAUUGCAAUUGAAUUGGAUGAACUGGGUACGAAUUUUUCUACCUGUUACAUGGCAAUGUUGUAGUUUGCAAUUCAAUCCUUAGAAUAAUGUAAUUGAAUUUUAUCGUAUUUUUAGCCUGUUCUUUAAUCGUUGUUUUAUCUCUAUUGGGAUUGUGAUUGAAAAGAAAUUAGACUACACUGUCUCUUUGAAUGGGGGUUUUCAAGUUUUGGACCUCUAAGUUCUGGUCCAUGGGAGAGCUAAUAAUGUUUUUAUCAUCAUUGUUAUGCCGUUUUGCACUCAACAUAUGUGUAAGAGGAAGCAAUAACAUCAUCUGUAUAACAAUCUACUUAACGUUGUCAAGUAGAUUGCUAUAUACUUUAUCUUU